GCGCCCGUAGCUCAGGUGGAUAGAGCGUCUGCCUUCUAAGCAGAAAGUCGCUGGUUCGAGUCCAGCCGGGCGCGCCA
rnacentral:tRNA from 1 species